rnacentral:rRNA from 1 species
UACAGAGGGUGCGAGCGUUGUUCGGAAUUACUGGGCGUAAAGCGCGCGUAGGCGGGAUGGCAAGUCGGUCGUGAAAUCCCUCGGCUCAACUGAGGAUCGUCGAUCGAUACUGCCGUUCUUGAGGAUUGCAGAGGAGACUGGAAUUCCCGGUGUAGCGGUGAAAUGUGUAGAGAUCGGGAGGAACACCGGUGGCGAAGGCGGGUCUCUGGGCAAUUCCUGACGCUGAGGCGCGAAAGCGUGGGGAGCAAACGGG